UACGUAGGGACCAAGCGUUGUUCGGAUUUACUGGGCGUAAAGGGCGCGUAGGCGGCAAUUCAAGUCAUCUGUGAAAUCUCCGGGCUUAACUCGGAACGGUCAGAUGAUACUGCUUUGCUAGAGUGCGGAAGGGGCAAUCGGAAUUCUUGGUGUAGCGGUGAAAUGCGUAGAUAUCAAGAGUAACACCUGAGGUGAAGACGGGUUGCUGGGCCGACACUGACGCUGAAGCGCGAAAGCCAGGGGAGCAAACGGG
rnacentral:rRNA from 1 species